AUUGAACGCUGGCGGCAGGCCUAACACAUGCAAGUCGAGCGAGCGGCGGACGGGUGAGUAAUGUAUGGGGACUGCCCGAUAGCGGGGGCUAACUACUGAAAACGGUGGCUAAUAUCGCCUACUUUCGGCAACCCCAUAUGGGAUUAGCUAGUAGGUGGGGUAAAGGCACACCUAGGCGACGAUCUCUAGCUGGUCUGAGAGGAUGAUGAGUAACCCUGGGACUGAGACACGGCCCAGACUCCGACGGAGGCAGCAGUGGGGAAUAUUGCACAAUGGGCGCAAGCCUGAUGCAGCCAUGCCGCGUGUAUGAAGAAGGCCUUAGGGUUGUAAAGUACUUUCAGCGGGGAGGCGUUACCCGCAGAAGAAGAACCGGCUAACUCCGUGCCAGCAGCCGCGGUAAUAC
rnacentral:rRNA from 1 species